rnacentral:rRNA from 1 species
CGGAUUGGAGUCUGCAACUCGACUCCAUGAAGCUGGAUUCGCUAGUAAUCGCGCAUCAGCCAUGGCGCGGUGAAUACGUUCCCGGGCCUUGUACACACCGCCCGUCAAGCCAUGGAAGCCGGGGGUGCCUGAAGUGCGUGACCGCAAGGAGCGCCCCUAAGGUAAAACCGGUGACUGGGGCUAAGUCGUAACAAGGUAGC